GCACCUGUGGCGGAAUUGGCAGACGCGCCAGACUUAGGAUCUGGUAUCGUGAGGUGUGCAGGUUCAAGUCCUGUCAGGUGCACCA
rnacentral:tRNA from 1 species